GGGAGUGGUCUGAGGAGGGGGUCACCCUCAAUAAGACCGGGAUGAGCGAUCAGUAAUGUCGGGACGUAGCCCGUGUAUGGGGAGGUAUGGUAGCCUCCAAAUUAUCCAAGGGGUCACCCUUAUUGGAUAUAGUACUGUGGAGAAUUGGCAGCACCGUGAGCUCUCCUUUUUGGCUCUGUCGAUAUACAUGUAUCCAGUGUGUCCCGGGCUGUGCAUACAGUAACAGAACGUACUCCGUGGAUAUGAGCCCGUCCUAGGGCGUGGGGGUCCCCCCCAGUAUAUGUAUGUCACUAGUACCGGAAUAAGAUUCGCUUGGGUUCACCCCAGUAUAUGUAUGUCACUAGGACAGGAACCAGAUUCGCUUGGGGAUCACCCAGCGUAAGGGGGGGAGUCAUCCCUGUACCACAAUGUCACUUUGGAGAGGUGUCUGCCACGCUUGGGGGUCACCCAGCGUAAGGGGGGUCACCGCUGUUAAUCACUCCGUUAUGUGCCUCCACUACUGUGUCCUGGGAGGUGUAUCCCUGUGGGGAAGGAGUGUAUUCAGUGGUUGUGAGGUCCAGUGGGAGUAGGGAGCUGAGUAAGUUAUCAGCUCUAUUUAAUUUCCCUGCCAGCAGAUAGAGUAAUGCAUCCACUAUAUGCCCACAGCAGGGAACAGUCCAUUCAUAAUCCUCCAGACGUACAAUAAAAAUGUUAUUCAACAUGUCAAUUGUAUAGAACAGAAUAGAGCAAACUGCCAGCAGACAUGAGUACUGCAUCCACUAUAUGCACUCAGCAGGGAUCAGUCCAUAUUCAUGCAGAGUUACAUAUAAAACUUUUUUUUUACAUGCCAAUGAAAUAUGACAGUAUAGAGCUGAGCAGUGAACAGUCCUUUCAUAAUCUUACAGAAAAGGUACAUAUAAAACCUUUAUUCCACAUGCCCAUGAGAUGUAUUAGUUUUGAGCUCAAAAGUACUUUUAUUUCGCAGGAAAAAUAUUUUAAACAGUACAGAUCUAGCUGCCAGUUCGUGGGAAUCACGAACUGGCUAAACGACAUGGCCGACGUGAGUCUCGCGAGUGCCGCGAGAUUCAAGAUUGCCGAUGUUCGCGCACAAAAGUGCCGUGUGGCCCGCCGGUAUGGAACAGAGUCCCCCCUGACACCCACAACCCCCAGAGACCUGCCCUGAAUUACCAGCCCCAGUAAAUAAAAAAACGAGAUUGCAGUAAAACGCUGCGAUCCGUGCGCGACCAGAGUAAAGCAUAGGAAAGAAAAGGUGCCAGCAACAGAAAACCAAACAGGCUAAUAAAGCAGAAAAUACGGGGGAAGUGUAACAGGGGGAGAAUAUCACACUACAGGGAGUGCAGAAUUAUUAG